rnacentral:rRNA from 1 species
UACGUAGGGUGCAGGCGUUAAUCGGAAUUACUGGGCGUAAAGCGUGCGCAGGCGGUUUGCUAAGAGAGAUGUGAAAUCCCCGGGCUUAACCUGGGAACUGCAUUUGUGACUGCACGGCUAGAGUGUGUCAGAGGGGGGUAGAAUUCCACGUGUAGCAGUUGAAAUGCGUAGAUAUGUGGAGGAAUACCGAUGGCGAAGGCAGCCCCCCUGGGAUAACACUGACGCUCAGGCA